ACGGAUAUGAUGAAAUUGGUAGACGUGUUAGAUUUAGAUUCUAAUGAUAAUAAUCGUGAGGGUUCGAGUCCCUCUAUCCGUA
rnacentral:tRNA from 2 species